CAGUCGAGGGGCAUCAGUUUGGUUUGCUUGCAACCAAAGCUGGCGACCGGCGCACGGGUGAGUAACACGUAUCCAACCUGCCUCAUACUCGGGGAUAGCCUUUCGAAAGAAAGAUUAAUAUCCGAUAGCAUAUAUUUCCCGCAUGGGUUUUAUAUUAAAGAAAUUCGGUAUGAGAUGGGGAUGCGUUCCAUUAGUUUGUUGGCGGGGUAACGGCCCACCAAGACUACGAUGGAUAGGGGUUCUGAGAGGAAGGUCCCCCACAUUGGAACUGAGACACGGUCCAAACUCCUACGGGAGGCAGCAGUGAGGAAUAUUGGUCAAUGGACGCGAGUCUGAACCAGCCAAGUAGCGUGAAGGAUGACUGCCCUAUGGGUUGUAAACUUCUUUUAUAUGGGAAUAAAGUGGUCCACGUGUGGAUUUUUGUAUGUACCAUAUGAAUAAGGAUCGGCUAACUCCGUGCCAGCAGCCGCGGUAAUACGGAGGAUCCGAGCGUUAUCCGGAUUUAUUGGGUUUAAAGGGAGCGUAGGCGGAUUGUUAAGUCAGUUGUGAAAGUUUGCGGCUCAACCGUAAAAUUGCAGUUGAUACUGGCAGUCUUGAGUGCAGUAGAGGUGGGCGGAAUUCGUGGUGUAGCGGUGAAAUGCUUAGAUAUCACGAAGAACUCCGAUUGCGAAGGCAGCUCACUGGAGUGUAACUGACGCUGAUGCUCGAAAGUGUGGGUAUCAAACAGGAUUAGAUACCCUGGUAGUCCACACAGUAAACGAUGAAUACUCGCUGUUUGCGAUAUACAGUA
rnacentral:rRNA from 1 species